AUACGUAGGGGGCGAGCGUUGUCCGGAAUGAUUGGGCGUAAAGGGCGCGUAGGCGGCGCGGUAAGUCUGGAGUGAAAGUCCUGCUUUCAAGGUGGGAAUUGCUUUGGAUACUGCCGCGCUUGAGUGCAGGAGAGGUUAUCGGAAUUCCCGGUGUAGCGGUGAAAUGCGUAGAGAUCGGGAGGAACACCAGUGGCGAAGGCGGGUAACUGGACUGCAACUGACGCUGAGGCGCGAAAGUGUGGGGAGCAAACAGGAUUAGAUACCCUGGUAGUCCACGCGGUAAACGAUGAUCACUAGGUGUCGGCGGCCAUAGGCGGUCGGUGCCGCAGCAAACGCAAUAAGUGAUCCACCUGGGGAGUACGUUCGCAAGAAUGAAACUCAAAUGAAUUGACGGGG
rnacentral:rRNA from 1 species